rnacentral:rRNA from 1 species
UGAUUAAGUAAGAAAGGGCGUACGGUGGAUGCCUAGGCACUUGAAACUGAAGAAGGACGCAACAAACGGCGAAACGCGGCGGGGAGCUGUACGUAAGCAAAGAUCCGCCGGUAUCCGAAUGGGGGAACCCGGCAUGCGUAAUAGCAUGUCAUCCGCAGAUGAACAAAUAGUCUGCGAGAGAGGUACCCGGGGAACUGAAACAUCUAAGUACCCGGAGGAAAAGAAAACAACAGUGAUUCCCUGAGUAGCGGCGAGCGAAAGGGGAGGAGCCCAAACCAGACCGAGGUCUGGGGUUGAAGGACCGCGAUACGGCAAGAAUCAUGGUAGGAGAACGGCAUUGAAAGGCCGACCGGAGAGGGUGCAAGUCCCGUAUCCGAAACCGUGAGGAAGCCCAGCGGGAUCCUGAGUACGGCGAGACACGAGAAAUCUUGUCGGAAGCAGGCGGGACCAUCCGUCAAGGCUAAAUAUAAGCAAGUGACCGAUAGUGAACCAGUACCGUGAGGGAAAGGUGAAAAGAACCGCGGGAGCGGAGUGAAACAGAACCUGAAACCGUAUGCUUACAAGAAGUCAGAGCACGUUAAGGUGUGAUGGCGUGCCUUUUGUAGAAUGAACCGGCGAGUUAUGUUAUCGUGCGAGGUUAAGCAGGAGAUGCGGAGCCGAAGCGAAAGCGAGUCUUAAGAGGGCGGCAGUACGAUGACAUAGACCCGAAACCGUGUGAUCUAGCCAUGACCAGGUUGAAGUUCAGGUGAAACUGAAUGGAGGACCGAACCGACCCCCGUUGAAAAGUUGGCGGAUGAGUUGUGGCUAGGGGAGAAAUUCCAAUCGAACACGGAUAUAGCUGGUUCUCCCCGAAAUAGCUUUAGGGCUAGCGUCGAGGAUGAGUCUUGUGGAGGUAGAGCACUGAAUGUACGAUGGCCCCAUCCCGGGGUACUGAGUAUAAUCAAACUCCGAAUGCCAUGAGAUAUUCCCGGCAGUCAGACCGUGGGUGAUAAGGUCCAUGGUCAAAAGGGAAACAGCCCAGACCGCCAGUUAAGGUCCCAAAAUGUAUGCUAAGUGGAAAAGGAUGUGGGGAUGCACAGACAACUAGGAGGUUGGCUCAGAAGCAGCCAUCCUUCAAAGAGUGCGUAACAGCUCACUAGUCGAGUGACCCUGCGCCGAAAAUGUACCGGGGCUAAGCAUACUACCGAAGCUGCGGAUUUGUAGUAAUACAAGUGGUAGGGGAGCGUUCCAUGCACGUGGAAGCCAUACCGAAAGGAGUGGUGGAGAGCAUGGAAGUGAGAAUGCCGGUGUGAGUAGCGAGAUGCAGGUGAGAAUCCUGCACACCGAUAGCCCAAGGAUUCCAGGGGAAGGUUCGUCCGCCCUGGGUAAGUCGGGACCUAAGGCGAGGCCGAAAGGCGUAGUCGAUGGAAAACAGGCAGAUAUUCCUGUACCCGCGAUGGAAAUGAAGGAAUGACGGAGAAGGCUAGCAUGAGCCACUUAUUGGAUUGUGGUCGAAGCGAAUAGCAGGUGCAUAGUAAAAUGCGUGCACGGGAUGUAAAACGUGACAGGUAAGCGAAACCCUANNNNNNNNNNNNNNNNNNNNNNNNNNNNNNNNNNNNNNNNNNNNNNNNNNNNNNNNNNNNNNNNNNNNNNNNNNNNNNNAAUGCGUGCACGGAAUGUAAAACGUGAUAGGUAAGCGAAACCUUUGGGGAGUAGCGAAGCAUGCGAGGCCAGCUUCCAGGAAAAGUUUCUAGUGCUGAUUCCAUAGCGGCCCGUACCAAAACCGACACAGGUGGGCAAGGAGAGUAUCCUGAGGUGAGCGAGAGAACUGUUGCCAAGGAACUCGGCAAAAUGACUCCGUAAGUUAGCGAGAAGGAGUGCUUAUGAAAGUAAGCCGCAGUGAAGAGGCCCAAGCGACUGUUUAACUAAAACACAGCUCUCUGCGAAGUCGCAAGACGAAGUAUAGGGGGUGACGCCUGCCCGGUGCUGGAAGGUUAAGAGGAUUUGUCAGUUUCGACGAAGCAAUGAAUUGAAGCCCCAGUGAACGGCGGCCGUAACUAUAACGGUCCUAAGGUAGCGAAAUUCCUUGUCAGGUAAGUUCUGACCCGCACGAAAGGCGUAACGAUUUGGGCGCUGUCUCGGCAGCAGACUCGGUGAAAUCUUAGUACCUGUGAAAAUGCAGGUUACCCGCAACUAGACGGAAAGACCCCAUGGAGCUUUACUGCAGCCUGAUAUUGGAUUUUGAUCAGAGAUGUACAGGAUAGGUGGGAGACGAAGAAGGAUGCACGCCAGUGUAUCUGGAGUCGACGUUGGGAUACCACUCUUGUCUGAUUGGAGUUCUAACCUGCGUCCAUGAAGCUGGACGGGGGACCGUGUCAGGCAGGCAGUUUGACUGGGGCGGUCGCCUCCCAAAGAGUAACGGAGGCGCCCAAAGGUACGCUCAGAUUGGACGGAAAUCAAUCGGCGAGUGCAAAUGCAGAAGCGUGCUUGACUGUGAGACAAACAGGUCGAACAGGGACGAAAGUCGGGAUUAGUGAUCCGGCGGUGCCGAAUGGAAGGGCCGUCGCUCAACGGAUAAAAGCUACCCUGGGGAUAACAGGCUGAUCUCGCCCAAGAGUUCACAUCGACGGCGAGGUUUGGCACCUCGAUGUCGGCUCAUCGCAUCCUGGAGCUGAAUUCGGUUCCAAGGGUUGGGCUGUCCGCCCAUUAAAGCGGUACGCGAGCUGGGUUCAGAACGUCGUGAGACAGUUCGGUCCCUAUCUGUUGUGGGCGUAGGAGAUUUGAGGAGAGCUGUCCUUAGUACGAGAGGACCGGGAUGGACCUACCGCUGGUGCACCGGUUGUUGUGCCAACAGCAUAGCCGGGUAGCUAAGUAGGGAAGGGAUAAGCGCUGAAAGCAUCUAAGCGCGAAGCCUACUCCAAGAUGAGAUCUCCCAUACGCAAGUAGUAAGACCCCUUGAAGACGACGAGGUAGAUAGGUCAGGGAUGGAAGCGCAGCGAUGCGUGGAGUUGACUGAUACUAAUAGGUCGAGGACUUAAUCAAA